GAGACAUCAAUUCAUUCAAGACUCUCCGCAAGGACAAUUUAGAAUUAGUUAUAUUUUAAUUUAGUAGUUUAGAAUUAAUCAAAGUGUAAUUUAAAAGUUUAGUGUUUUUUAGACAAGCUUGUGCACAUUGGGCCAAGAUUUUAGCAAAAAAAUAUGAUGGGCCCAAAUUGUGGGGAUGACACAUGGCACCUAGGUUUCUUUAGGGUGGACCACACCCUUUUUUUUAGAGACACACGUCCCUAGCUAGGGUGACCAGCCUUCUAGGCUGGGCGGUUGGAACGUGUUUUGGUAGAUAGCUUUUCUUUAGAACCAUGUUGAUACUGUUGGAUUUUGGUUGAUGGAGAAAUGCAU
rnacentral:lncRNA from 1 species